GCCGGGGUAGCUCAGUUGGUUAGAGCGCAGGACUCAUAAACCUGAGGUCGACGGUUCAAUUCCGUCUCCCGGCA
rnacentral:tRNA from 2 species